rnacentral:rRNA from 1 species
UGCGCAGGCGGGGGCCUUAGUUUGCGGUGAAAGCUCCUGGCUCAACUGGGAGAGGGCCGUGAAGACGGGGUCUCUUGAGGCUCGGAGAGGGACGUGGAAUUCCGGGUGGAGCGGUGAAAUGCGUAGAGAUCCGGAAGAACACCGACGGCGAAGGCAGCGUCCUGGCCGAGGCCUGACGCUCAGGCACGAAAGCGCGGGGAGCGAACAGGAUUAGAUACCCUGGUAGUCCGCGCCGUAAACGAUGUCCACCAGGUGCCGGGGGGAUCGACCCCGUCGGUGCCGCAGCUAACGUGAUGAGUGGACCGCCUGGGGAGUACGGCCGCAAGGUUAAA